rnacentral:rRNA from 1 species
UUGAACGCUGGCGGCAGGCCUAACACAUGCAAGUCGAGCGGUAGAGAGAGCUUGCUUCUCUUGAGAGCGGCGGACGGGUGAGUAAUGCCUAGGAAUCUGCCUGGUAGUGGGGGAUAACGUUCGGAAACGGACGCUAAUACCGCAUACGUCCUACGGGAGAAAGCAGGGGACCUUCGGGCCUUGCGCUAUCAGAUGAGCCUAGGUCGGAUUAGCUAGUUGGUGAGGUAAUGGCUCACCAAGGCGACGAUCCGUAACUGGUCUGAGAGGAUGAUCAGUCACACUGGAACUGAGACACGGUCCAGACUCCUACGGGAGGCAGCAGUGGGGAAUAUUGGACAAUGGGCGAAAGCCUGAUCCAGCCAUGCCGCGUGUGUGAAGAAGGUCUUCGGAUUGUAAAGCACUUUAAGUUGGGAGGAAGGGCAGUUACCUAAUACGUGAUUGUUUUGACGUUACCGACAGAAUAAGCACCGGCUAACUCUGUG